ensembl:lncRNA
UAAAUAUGGUAACAGUAGAUACUGAGCAUUAGUAGAGGGUGGGAUUAAAAACUACCCAUUGAGUACUACAUUCACUACCAGGUGACAGGAUCUGCAUUUUAAAUCUAAGCAACAUGCAGUAUUCCCAUGACAUGUACCCCCAUAUCUAAAAUAGAAGUUGAAAUAAAACGUAUCUGGGUAUAACUUUGAACUCCCCGAAACCUGACUAAUGGUAACCUAUAACAUAAAUAGUCAAUGAACUCAUGCUUUGUGUCUUAUAUGUCCUGUGUACUGUAUUCUUACAGUAGAGUAAGCCAGAAAAAGAAAAUCAACAGAAAGAGAAACUAUAUUUACUGUGUAUUUAGUGAAAGUGGUUUGUCAUGAAGGUCUUCAUCCUUGUCUUCAAGUUAAGUAGACUGAAGAGGAGGAAAACGAGGAGAGGUUGGUCCUGCUGUCUCAGGAGUGGCAGAGGCAGAAGGAGAUCCACAGGUAAGUGGACCUUCACGGUUUGAAUCUGUCUUGUUCAAGGUUCAGUGCAUUUCAGUCAUUCAUCACUGCUGUCGCUUGGAUAAUCCAGGGCUUUCCUUCCUUGUUCAUUCCUCCUUCCUUCUUGUCUCCUCUCCUCAGAGGUUUAAAGUUUCUCAGGAAUGGGCUUUUCUGGAGAGCAAUGGCCUUUCACUCAGAGAAUGGACCUAAGCAGAUAACUCUUAUGGAAAUAAUGUUGGCCCUUUUAGGCACAUGCCUAAGCUGGUAUAAAAACAGUGGAGCAGAGAAGCCAACCCCAACCCAAGCUCUGUAGCCUUCUUCCUUCCCUUUGCAGAGUGCAUGCGGUAGACAGCAAGGAGAACCCGGCCAUAGGAGCAUGCAAUACCAAUGAAGGGAAACACGAGAAAGAUGGCAGCGCUCAAAAACACUGUGCCCUCAUAGACCCAGGUGUCCAUGCAGGCCAGAGUCACCAUGGCUGGGACAUGACAGAAGAAGUGAUUGAUGGCCCUGGCUGCACAACAGGGAUAUGGAGCAUAUAUAAAGCAUGAGCACAAGUGUAGGUAAGGCUUAUCAUCAUACCCUCUUUUGCUCAUAUGGAUGGAAUACUGGAGAGUAAUGCAAAUAGCCACAUAAAGAUCAUAAGCCAUUCAUGUCAGGAGCAGCGCUUCUGCAUCUGCUGAAGUCAAAAAGAAGUUUUGAAUCCCACUCCCAGUGAAGCAGAUAGACUUGUUUCCAAACAGAAAAUCAGAAAACGUCUUGGGGACAAUAGUGGAGAUGUAAUUUAGGUCAAUGAGGAAGAGCUGACUAAGAUACACAUUGGUGUGUGGAGUUGGUUGUCCAAGAUGAGAAGAGAUGAGAAGAAUCGUGGACACAUUGCCAACCAGAGCCAUUAGGAAAAUGAGAACAAUGAGAAUGAGGAGAUAAAGGCCGCGUCUGGAUGAUGGGAAGAACCCCAGCAAGAUGAAAUCAGCUGACAUUUGAUUGUAAUCUUCCAUGGGGCAUUCCUACGAUCCUUCCUGAAGGGAGACACAAGAGUGAGUGAGAUACAGUAGUUCCCCCUCACCCACAAUCGACGCAGUCCAAGACCCCCCGUGGAUGCCUGAGACUAAGGAUAGCACUGAAUUUUAUACACACGAUUUCACUGGAUCCAUACAUACUUACGAUAACCUUCAAUUUAUAAAUUAGACAAGAAAUUAACAAAAAUAAUAAAAUAGAACAAUUAUAGAAAUACACUGUAAUAAAAUCUAUGUAAAUGUGGUCUCUUUCUCUCAAAAUAUCUUAUCAUACUAUAUUCUCUCUUCUUGUGAUGACAAAAUAUUCAAAUAUUCAAAAAAUUGAAACAAACUUAAUUGCAGUCUCUUGAUUCCCAAGCACGGAAUCAGUUCAUCCUUGAUCAUUGUGUGACCGGUGAUAACUCCUGACAUAGUCACUGAAAAACAGCAAAUCAUUUGCUUUCUUCGUUCUCUUUUCAUUCAGUGUAGUUUGGUUUUCAGUACAGGACACAGCAUAUUAAACUGAG